CCACCGCCGUGCCUCAGCAAGCGCAAACGUCGUGCUCGCAUUGCGCGCUAUUUCUCGAUGCCCGGUACUCGAAAAACCCUCGAAAAUGCUCACGAAAUUUCGGAACACACGAUUGUACUUGACGCCGCUCUUAGCGAAUGAAAAUCAUUGAACUUCUGAGCGUUACGAAAAUAACCGUUGUAACUAAUUGAAAAACAAAAAAAAAAGCAUUCGAGCAAGACGAAAUCUCAGUUUUAUCAGCAAUUAAUUUUUAUUUUUCGCAUCACCGACGCUACCGUCACGGGAAUUCCGAUGCUGCUACGAGUGCAUCGAGAUAAUUAAUCAGGAGAACGAACUCGACGUACUUAUCGAUUCAAACAAAGUCAUAACUUUUCACGAUUAUAAUAAACUCUGUCCUAAAGAUAAAGAAAAAUUGAGCAACCGACAGAAUAAUCGAUAAACAUUAUUUGCAGUCAAAGGAUUUUCGAAUUUUUUGUUACACCUCAAAGUUGUGUCAACACCGCGUAUUUACAUGGAAAUUUCAAUUAUUUUCUGAGUGCAUCGCGAUCGCAGCAGUAGCGACCAUGAAUUCCAUGAACAAAUUAGUUUUCGUAGUGCAAAAACUGUUAAUUUUUACGAGAGCAGAGUGUCGCGACCAAUCGCAAACAAAAGUUUAUAACAUCGAGAAAAUAAUAAGAAUGGAAAAUUGAAGAAUUUCGCGAAGAACUCGUCAAAAGGCCGAUGGAAAGGUAGAAGAGAAGGGGAAGUUAAGGUUAUGCCGAUCGGAUCUCGUCGGCUGGUACCCCGUGCCACUGGUGUAUCGAUGCUCAGCGUUGAAAAUUCGUGGGCGUCUCAAGUACUCGCGUCAGCGACCACAAAUAUCAAAGACAUGGCACGAUUCCAGCAGCGCCAGCUCGCCGAGAAGGAGCAAAAGUUGUUGCAGCUUUACGAUCAGCAGCAACUUCGAGCUCAUCAGGUAGCCCAAAGAGGUAGUGCGGGAUCUAACGGUUCGAAUGGCUCGGGCCACGGUAACACGAGUCAUCAUCAGACUGUCACGAGAACGAGUACGACCACCCACGCGACCUCCAAUUCUCAAGGCGGCGGUGGAAAGGUGCGUCAAAUGUUUGACGAGAGAAGACAAACCACUGUAAAGGGCAUAGACAAGAGUUAUCCGCUGGAGCCACUGGAGAAUCGUUCCCGCAAGCAUCAAACGACGACGACGACGAGCAACGUCACCGUAAAUUCAACGUCCCAACUGAAAAAUGGUAAUCCUACGAGCAAUCGACGAAGCGUCGUGACUCGAAGGACUGUACGUUCCGAGGCGAAUAGCAACGUUAACGACGGUAAACCCGUUGUCACGUAUCACGAGGAAGUGAGCCGGGAAAUCAGCGAUUUGAACGAUCGUGAUAACGAGCAGGAAGAAUUUGGUGAUGACAACUUUCACGUUUCUCGAUACGAGAAUGGUAAUCGCCGUGUCGAUCGGCCCAAUCAGCUGGAAAUCGAAGACGUUACUAACGAAAACACAAGCCAGAGACACAGAACUACUGCAAAAAUUCACCUGGCGGAAUUCGAACGAUCGAACGUAACUAAUCUCGAAAACGAGCCAUUUCCAAACGACGAAAUCAUCAACAUGCCAGAAAAAUUGCCCGGACGAUCAUCAACCGGAAGAAAAUCUUUCCAGUCGGAGACCAAACUUGAACGACCUAAAAUUUCAAACGUCAAAAAAACCGGCCAACCGAUCAAACAGGUCGCUGGUAACACUACGAGCUUUACGAAAAAACGAAACGACAACAGCGCUCUAUCCGGCUCGUCCACCAGAGCGUCAGCAGUGACGAUAAGGAUGGAGGGAGAAGUUUCGAGGGGACGCUCGACGAGUCCGGAACUCGAAGGAUCUAGAAAGUCCAGAACCUCCUCGCCCGAAGUGUCUGAAAAUAAAGGGAAAUUAACGAACCCCGCAGCAUCUCCGGUCACCAAGAUGUCCGGUGUUACGAGAGUCAGUCAGCUUUCUCAGAACAACUCGACUGACUUUUAUCCGCGAAGAAAAUCAGAAUUCGAAAAAUCGAAAACAUUCAGGAAGUUGCAGCUUGAACUGGGAGAGUCUUCGCCCGAACCGAAUGAACCGGAAGAUCUUCCUCCGAGCGUGUUCAGCACUCAGUGCAGGAAGCGAAGCUCCAUUUUUAAUGAAAAUACUCAUUCAUCCGAGCGCCGUUCGUCCGCUUCGAGUGCAGUUUACGAUAAAUUUUACUCGAAGGAAGGAAAAGCGAGUCCCGAAUCCCAAAGUUCGAAUUACCGAAGAGAAUCGCGGGCGGAAAACGAUGACAGAAACACCGAAAGUUCGAGUUUCGAUUCCGACACUUACUCAUCGAAACGUCGAUCGUUCUCGUCGAGCAGCCCAACGAUCGAUCACGGAUUUUCAAACGGACGGAAGGAGAGCCUGGAAAAAUCAUCGAAACGAGCGGAAUCCCAGACGAGAUUCUCGAGUCCGACUUUUCGGCGAAAAUCAACGUCGAAAAAUGAAGAAAGCAAAACUCUCGACGAAGGAACGAAAACCUCGACCUUUGACUCGAGCACUUAUUCUUCGAAGCAGCAUUCGACGACGUGGAAUCCAACUGGAAAUCGUGAUUUCUCGAAAGAACGAAAAACGAGUCAGGAAAAGUCAGGAUCUCCCGGACAACCCCAGAGUUCAAAUUAUCCAAGAAAAUCGGCAGAGACUAAAGAACGUCGAAAGACUUCAAAAGAGGAAAUUCACAAAACAAGCUUUGACUCGACCACCGAUUACUUGAGACGUCGCUCAUCGUCUUCGAGUCCCUUUGGCGAAAAUGAUUCAUCGCAGAAACGUAGAAAGAGCUACGAGAAGUCGCCGGAACGUCCGGAAUCUCGAGCAGGAUCCACGACCUCAAGCUAUCGAAGAGAUUCUCUGACGAGCCGCGAUGAGCGGAGGACGAAAUCCAACUACGAAUCGAGUACUUUUGCCUCGCGAAUUCGUUCGGGGUCUCCCAUGUUGAUUGUGGACUACGAUCUGUCAGAAGAGCGAUCCGCGAUCUACGAGACGUCGCAAAAUCGUCCAGCCUCUCGAGGGAGAUCUCAAAGCCCGACUCCUCGAGGAGAAUCUAUGAUGGAACGUGAUGAAAAAUUCUACGAAAAUGACUCGAAAAACUUCGCUUCCAGCACUUACUCCUCGAGACAACAUUCGGCCUCUCCGGUCCCGCCGGUCGAGCACGGUUACUCCGAAGAUGAAGAACCGAGUCGUAAAAUAUCAUACGAAGCUCCGAGAUCUCGGGGAGGAUCCGAGAGUCCGACCGGUCGUCGAGAAUCGGUCGUUGAACGUGAUGAAAGAUCGGCUGAACGACGCACGACGAAUUUUGCCUCAAGCACUUAUGCCUCGAGGCAACAUGUCGCGCAUCCAACUUCCCCGGGUGAUGAUCGCCAUCCCGAAGACCGUCGAACGAGCCACUCGAUAUCGCACGAAGCUCCAGGCUCCCGAGAACGAUCUCAAAGCCCAAAUCGUCGGGGAUCGUUAAUCGAACACGACGAACGUUCGACCGGAAACGAUACGAGUUUUGCCUCCUCGACUUUCUCCUCGAGACAACAUGCAGCCUAUCCGGCGUCAACGGCGGAUGAUCCAUACCCGGAAGACCGUCAAACGAGUCACACACUGUCGCACCGCGGCCCGGGGUCCCGAGAACGAUCUCAGAGCCCGGUUUACCCUCGGGAAUCGUUCAUCGAACGCGAUGAACGUUCGACCGGAAAAGAUUUUGCCUCGCCUACUUUCUCCUCGAGGCAACAUGCCGCGUGGCCAAUGGCAUCGGACGAAUAUUCUCAAACCCGCGUAACGAGUCACACGAUGUCACACGAAGCUCGAGACACUCGAGAACGAUCUCAGAGUCCAGCUUACCGGCGAGAAUCGAUCACUGAACAUGACGAAAGGUCGAUUAAAAGAGAGACAGCAAAGUUCGCUUCGGCGAAUUUCUCCACGAGACAGCAUUCGGACUAUACAACUUCGUACGGCGAUGGCAAUCGUUCCGAAGAUCGAAAAACGAGUUACACAAUAUCCCAGGAAGCUCCGCGUUCUCGAGAACGAUCCCAGAGUCCAACUUUUCGGAGGGGAUCAUACGUGAAAGAUCUGGAUGCAGCGGGUGUAGCGAGUGGAGAAGCCGAGACAUCGAGUUACGAAGCAAGUACUUUUUCUUCGAGAUGCCAUUCGACUUUCCAGGCUCCGACGGCGGAUUACGAUUUUCCAAGCCAAGGGAGGGCCGGUCGAGAAAAAUCCCCGGAAGAUAGGAGUCCUCGAAGAGAAUCACAAAGCCCAAUUCAUCGGAGGGAAUCAAUCGUGAAGAGCGACGAUAAAAAGGCAUCGACGUUCGCCUCGAGUGCUUAUUCUUCGAGGCGUCGUUCUUCCUCUUCCAGUCCAAUUCUCGAUUCUGACAUUCCGAAAGAACGAGCACGCGGCCACGAUCGCGAUGACUUGAUUCUCCAAAAUCGUCCUAAAUCCGGAGAGAAUCUCCGAUCUUUCGAGCUAAUAAAAAAGAUCGUUCGUCCUCCGAGCCCAGAUAAAAAGACAAACGCAACAUCAACCAAAAAGGCAUCGACCGAUCGUCGAACGACUCUCGAGGAUAUCGAACUUUCCACGGAAUCUUCGAAACUCCGUGAAACGACGAAACGACCCAAGUCUCCGGUGCACAAAGUUGUGAAAAAAGACAAACCUCCCACGGCAAUGACGAAACGAGAAAAAACGACGAAAACCAGCGAGACGAAUACUCGUGGCUCCGGAUCAAGGACCAUUUCUCCGUCACCUGACACCGCCAUUGCAGGCCCAGCCGCUUUCGAAGUGACGAAAAAUGAGUGCAGGCCUACUGGCAACAAAAAAAUAGAGACAAAAGUCCAACGGAACUCGAAAGAUACAAAUUCGACGAAGGAGAAAGCGAUGAAAAAAGCAAAUUCUGAUGUCAGCCGUCCCGACGAUGGGAAAGAUUCGAGAAGAUCGUCCUCGGAAAUCACUGUGAAACGUCACGAUACUUUCAAAGUCGCCAAACCCAAUGAAAACACCGUAAACGUCUGUCCCGAAGCGAUCGGCAAAGACAAAGAAGAAAAUUUGGCUAAGAAAAGUCGUGAGGAAUUCAAGGACAAAAGUCAGCUCCUCGAAAGGAUCGAGAAGAUACGAAGCACUUUGUCCCGCAGUGGAAGAUCGGAGCAGAAUUUACGAUCGAACGGAUUCGAACGUACGGAUUCGGUCGAAUCAGCGUUGAAGCGGUUCGACUCGAUCGGCGUCGAGACCGAGCAUCACGUGACCGUAGGUGUCGACGAGCCGGACAGAGUCCCGCCGAAGGCAAAGUCGGAGACAUUUUAUUCGACUGACGUGAAAAAAAUACCGGUCACGGAGGAGAUAAUAGUUAAGAAAACCAUCGCGCCGUUGUGCAGACCCGCGAAAACGACGGUCGCGGUUGUCAAGGCUCAGCCGAGACAAACCGAUGCGAAAUCUCUGACUCCUGGGAGAGAAAGAGAAGUUGCUAAAUCGGGGAAAUCUAAGAGAGAAAAAUCUAUGACAACUGUGACUACGCCGCGGAACACCGACAAGAAAAUGGUGUCGAAAUCACACGAGGCUCAGAAAAGAGCCACUUCGAUGGUGAAAAAGUCACGACUCCGCAGCGAAGAGCCCUCGGGACGCGGAGAAGGGCGUCGAAUGGACUCUUCGCCUCUUUGCAAAAGAAAGUUAUUCGAAGAUUCGGAAUCCGAAAUGGAGAGUGAAAAUGUGAGCUCGACGAUUGUCCUGACAGCGACGACGAGAGUGACGAACAACAGUCCGAUCAUAAUGGAAAUCGAGACGAAAAAUAACCGGGAAAGCGUGAGGAAUAGUGCGAAAGGUUCUUUGAAAAUGGAAUCAUCCUUCGGGGAGUCGAAAAUGGAAAACGAACCGGCGAAAAUUUUACGCUCGAUCGAGGAUAUUCGCAAAUCCAUAAAACGCGAGAGUCAGGAUUUCAAACGCGAAUUGAAUAAAUUUAACAAAGCUAUGAGAAGGAAUAGCUCGACAAGGGACAGCCCCGAUUCAAUCCUGACCUCGGGCACCGUAUCUUGCGGUCGCGAAAAGUCAGAGUCCUGAUAUCGGCACCAAACGGUCCGUGGAUACGAGAACGAAAACGACGACGAAUAACCUCGUCAGGAGAAGCGUUCCAUCAUCGCCCGCCAGAAUCGCUGACACCUCCAACAGGUGCGGCUCUAGCGAGCUCAGAGUUUCAGAAGCGAAAUCAUCGAUGAGGACAUUAUCGAGUCCGGGGUCCCGGGAGACAAAAAAUCUAAGAGAAUACUCGAUAACAACGGAAUACACGGACGUCACAGACGGGACGCGAAACGGUUGUGAAACCACCGAAACUGAAAUCAUGCAAACGGCGACAACGA
rnacentral:misc_RNA from 1 species